rnacentral:rRNA from 1 species
UGCUAAUACCGCAUAACGCAGCGGCAUCUUCGGAUGACAGUUGUUAAAGCGGGGGAUCCGAAGCAAUUCGGACCUUGUGCCGGAAGAGAAGCUCGCGGCAGAUUAGGUAGUUGGUAGGGUAACGGCCUACCAAGCCUGCGAUCUGUAGCCGGCCUGAGAGGGCGGUCGGCCACACUGACACUGAACAUACGGGUCAGACUCCUACGGGAGGCAGCAGUCGGGAAUUUUGGGCAAUGGGCGCAAGCCUGACCCAGCAACGCCGCGUGAAGGACGAAGUUUUUCGGAAUGUAAACUUCACAAGACGGGGAAGAAUAAGUUAAGGCAAAUACCCUUGACGAUGACGGUACCCGUAGUAAGCUCCGGCUAACUCCGUGCCAGCAGCCGCGGUAAUACGGGGGGAGCAAGCGUUGUUCGGAUUUACUGGGCGUAAAGGGCGCGUAGGCGGUCGUCUAAGUCACUUGUGAAAUCUCCGGGCUCAACCCGGAGCGGCCAAGUGAUACUGGGCGACUAGAGUGCGGAAGGGGCAACCGGAAUUCUCGGUGUAGCGGUGAAAUGCGUAGAUAUCGAGAGGAACACCUGCGGCGAAGGCGGGUUGCUGGGCCGACACUGACGCUGAGGCGCGAAAGCCAGGGGAGCGAACG